GGGCUGAUAGCUCAGCUGGCAGAGCACCGCGUUUGCAACGCGGGGGUCCGGGGUUCGAGUCCCCGUCAGUCCACCA
rnacentral:tRNA from 1 species